rnacentral:rRNA from 1 species
GGAUCGCGGCGACGUGAGCGGUUCGCUGCCCGCGACGUCGCGAGAAGUCCACUGAACCUUAUCAUUUAGAGGAAGGAGAAGUCG